rnacentral:rRNA from 1 species
UACGUAGGGAGCGAGCGUUGUCCGGAAUCAUUGGGCGUAAAGAGCUCGUAGGCGGCCUCUCAAGUCGAAUGUGAAACCUCGGGGCUUAACCUCGAGCCUGCAUUCGAUACUGGGCGGCUAGAGUCUGGUAGGGGGAUCUGGAAUUCCUGGUGUAGCGGUGGAAUGCGCAGAUAUCAGGAGGAACACCGGUGGCGAAGGCGGGAUCCUGGGCCAGUACUGACGCUGAGGAGCGAAAGCGUGGGGAGCGAACAGG